CACGUGGGUAAUCUACCUUCCGGCGGGGGACAACAGUCCGAAAGAAUUGCUAAUACCGCAUACGUCAGCGGCGCCUACGGGCGCUGUUGGGAAAGAUGGCCUCUCCUUGGAAGCUAUCACCGGAAGAUGAGCCCGCGUCCCAUCAGCUAGUUGGUGAGGUAACGGCUCACCAAGGCUAAGACGGGUAGCUGGUCUGAGAGGAUGAUCAGCCACACUGGGACUGCGACACGGCCCAGACUCCUACGGGAGGCAGCAGUGGGGAAUAUUGGACAAUGGGGGAAACCCUGAUCCAGCCAUGCC
rnacentral:rRNA from 1 species